rnacentral:rRNA from 1 species
AUCAUGGCUCAGAUUGAACGCUGGCGGCAUGCCUUACACAUGCAAGUCGAACGGUAACAGGUCUUCGGAUGCUGACGAGUGGCGAACGGGUGAGUAAUACAUCGGAACGUGCCCAGUCGUGGGGGAUAACGUAGCGAAAGUUACGCUAAUACCGCAUACGAUCUACGGAUGAAAGCGGGGGACUCGCAAGAGCCUCGCGCGAUUGGAGCGGCCGAUAUCAGAUUAGGUAGUUGGUGGGGUAAAGGCUCACCAAGCCAACGAUCUGUAGCUGGUCUGAGAGGACGACCAGCCACACUGGAACUGAGACACGGUCCAGACUCCUACGGGAGGCAGCAGUGGGGAAUUUUGGACAAUGGACGCAAGUCUGAUCCAGCCAUUCCGCGUGCAGGAUGAAGGCCCUCGGGUUGUAAACUGCUUUUGUACGGAACGAAAAGGUUUCUAUUAAUACUAGGAGCUCAUGACGGUACCGUAAGAAUAAGCACCGGCUAACUACGUG